AGUGAACGCUGGCGGUAGGCCUAACGCAUGCAAGUCGAACGGCAGCACAGUAAGAGCUUGCUCUUACGGGUGGCGAGUGGCGGACGGGUGAGGAAUACAUCGGAAUCUACUUUUUCGUGGGGGAUAACGUAGGGAAACUUACGCUAAUACCGCAUACGACCUACGGGUGAAAGCAGGGGAUCUUCGGACCUUGCGCGAUUGAAUGAGCCGAUGUCGGAUUAGCUAGUUGGCGGGGUAAAGGCCCACCCAGGCGACGAUCCGUAGCUGGUCUGAGAGGAUGAUCAGCCACACUGGGACUGAGACACGGUCCAGACUCCUACGGGAGGCAGCAGUGGGGAAUAUUGGACAAUGGGCGCAAGCCUGAUCCAGCCAUACCGCGUGGGUGAAGAAGGCCUUCGGGUUGUAAAGCCCUUUUGUUGGGAAAGAAAAGCAGCAGGUUAAUACCCCGCUGUUCUGACGGUACCCAAAGAAUAAGCACCGGCUAACUUCGUG
rnacentral:rRNA from 1 species